rnacentral:rRNA from 1 species
GGCGCCCGGUGCAGUCGCUGUGCUGGGGUGGUGCCCGCCGGUGCGCAGGUGGGGGAGCAGGAGCGGAGCAGGGCGCCUCGCGCGUGCGUGUGCAGUCGCGUGAGGGAGGCACGCGGCCCGGGUGCUCGGUCCCUCUCGCCAUGCUCUGACGCCAUGGGCAUAAAACGUCUUUGCGGGGAGGGGAAGAGGCGUUAGCGUUGGCGUUUGGGCUAGGGUAGGGUAAAGGGUGUCCGUGUCAGAUCAGGGGAGGGGAGGGGCGAGGGGGUGGGGGAAGAAGGAGGCGGCCGGCCGGUGAGGUGGCUUAGGUUAGGUCCAUGGCGGAGAGGCCGGAGGGCGAAGCUAAAGCGCGAGGCCGCUGCGUUAGCCCGCUCGUCUUAGGCGAGGGUUAAAAAAGUCGAAAAAAAUGGGGUAGUAAGGUAGCGACUAAGCUCGCGGCUCUUUCCAAGCCCCAACUCGUUUUGGGACGGACGAAGCACAAGACAUUAGUGCGACUAUGGGCUUAAGACAGGGACUUAACUAGGCGAGGUACUUGUAAACUACGUUGUCGCUCGCGCUUAGGAUGGAUGGUUCGGCCACAACUCUUCGUCAAGCAAGGACACGGGAAACCACUCACCGUUACCGUCGCCGUCCCUCUGACGCCCCUGCCGCCGCCCGCGAGUUCCUCCACCUCGCGCUCGGGCUCGGCAAGUGGUAGCUCCUCCUCCACAGGGUGGAGUGGGCCCAAGCCAGCCUCGGCACGGGGCCGUGGGCGCGGCGGUAGGUACCGCGGUCCGCCUUCUCCCUGAAGAGCCGAAAGCUCUACGACAGCAGCUCCCUCAGGCCGGAGAGCCCUCCGCCGCCCAAGACAAGCCGGCUGGCGCGGAUGCGGCGGCCCUUCGUGGAGGGCAGCCUUCCUGGCACCACGCACCUUCUGUACCUAUCGCUCCGGAUACAGAGCGUCAAGAGGUCGCUACCGAGCGACGAGCAACGGCCCAAAGCCCCUUCGGCGUAGUCUCAAAUGCUACGGCUAUCUCCCACCUUCCAAGUAUUCUUGUAUUCGACGUCUUCAUACUCCACCUGCCAAAGUCUAUAACGAGAGAGGGGACUGGUCGCUAUGGAACGGAUAAGGUCAAACAGCGGAUAACAAGUGUAACACUUACACGUCUUACGACCUUCUCUUAGCCUACGAUUACAAUGACUUUAAGUGCUCCCAAACCUUAAGACACUACUGCUACUUAUGAGAAAGCCCUAUAAGAGACACUUUAAAAGUUUUCUACCAUCUCUUCAUCAACAACCCUUGUUACUAACAAGUUAUGUACAGAUACUAGAACCUCGUUUAUUUCACAGACUGGCAUAGGCACGAGUAUGCAGACUACAGUUGUGCCAGUGGAAACGCCUACUUUCACCGUUAAACAACAUGAGACCUUCACUACUAUUAGAGACAUUCCAGACCCUAUCCGCAACGGAACAUUCUCUCUUUGGUCGUCCACAAAACUGUCCAGUGAAUCUACCCUAAUGUACAUAACUAUCGGCACCACUACCCGCAAUAGAUUAGAGGUUGACGUUCCUAGUCUGAUAGUUUGAAACCCUGCAGUCUUUCUACAGGCGGUGACAUUUUCCUGCUGUUGGUUCUAAUAUACUGACCCUGAUGUCUACCUACUGCAAGGGUAGUGUACGAUCUAUAAUAUUCGUAGGUUUACUAGACAGAGACCGUUGUAUGUCCCCAGUAAGUCAAGACGCCUGUGAAUAGGCGACGAUGAAGAGAGGUUACGUGUCGUGCCCGGUCUCCAUGUAUAUGUGACCUAGUUCACUGCUAAGUCACGUAUAAAUGCUACACCAUUGGCCCCGCUGGCACUUCUUCGAGAGCACCGUGCCAAGCUAGUAGUCUCUGACGUGGACCGUAGGAAUAACAGGUUGCGAGCAUUCGAGAAGGACCCUGCCGAUAGACCGGGCCACCCUCCGUAGUCCACUGUUGCUCCUGGGGAGCCACGAGUGCACGCUGCUCGUCUCCUGAUCGGGAAUGCUGGUCUGUAUGCCCGAGAGAAAACGGGACAUCAUUCAACGUCUCCUGUACCGCACUAUUCGUCUCGGCUCCGCUCGAGCACUACUUGGAAAUACAACCCAACACCGCCAAAUACUAACUACACGAACAUACCGUCAUAUUCGUGUUCGUCAGUACGUAACAUACAGACUCCGUUGAACACGAGGAGAACGACAGUGACUAUCUUUUAUCACUACAAUUGUUCUACAUCGGCAACGAAAACAUUUAAACAAACGUCAGCUAGUCCACCGCAGUCACUGUUUCAGCAUACAUUGAUACGUUCAAAAAACAACAACAACUCUCUUAACAUUGAUACGUUCAAUUAUUACGUACACGUAAGACAACGGUAUGUCUUUACAUAUAAAUCACUACUCAUUUAUUGCGACCACUACGUUGUUGAACUGGACGCCCACACCAAAGUAGGGGU